GGAUAACAUCCGCAUUAAAAUUAUGCAUAGUUAUAUCAUAGUACGCACAAAGAUACAUCAUAGGAUAUAUAUCCAAAGGAAGUCCCUUAGGUAACUGUUCACAAGCAACAGAAAAAAUUUAAAAAGCCACAUCCACAGAAUAUAUAUACAAAGGAAGUCCCUUAGGUGCCAAGCAUUUCACGAGUUUGUUCUUCCUCUUGCCAAGGAAAUAAUGGUUCCCACAUCUGAGCCUUAGCUGAACGUAAGCUUACUAAAGCCGUAUCCUGACCUCCCACCAAAGUACCAUGACGGCGCAACACCAAUUCAGAAUUUAGAAGUGGUUGCUGUUUCUUACAAAUAUGUACAAAACCUACUAACCUACCCCCAGGACCAAGGAAGCUUAUCUACAUUUUCCCUCAUACUGAAGUGCCCCAUACGACAGAGAGGAGGCUUCAUCUAUGGCAUGAUGAAAAGAUCGACCAAAGAUGCACAGAUGAGUGACAUCUAGGCAAAUCUGCAACAGACAUUAUUUACAAUUCAAAAAAUAACACGAUUUAUUUUUAAUCUAUGUACAGCAGUCCCCCAGCACUGACUAGGUGAUCAAAACAAGUAUCCUUGCAUCAUCUAUUCAGGCCUGUAGUUCACCAGAUUUGGGAGCUCAGUUGACUGAAGUUUCCUGAUGUCAUUUGCAGUUACCUUGCAGGAUUCCAAGGUAAGUGAUUUCAAGUUCUUGAGUUGCUUCAAGUGUUGCAACCCCAUAUUUGUUACGCGAGAAUUUGAGACAUUCAGAGACACCAGCUGUGUCAACCCAGAAAUCACUUCCAAGCUCUUGUCAGUCAGGUGACUGUUUUGAGAAAGAUUCAGCAGUGUCAAGGACGUCAGGUCCUUGAUGUUCUUUACACCAGCAUCGGUUAAACCUCCACCACAAAUUUCCAGGGAACGCAGAUUCUUAAAAUAUCGAAGAUAGCUUGUUCCAGAAUCAGUGAUCUUAGCUCCAAAAAGGUCCAAGUGAGUUAAUCCAGUCAAGCUUGUAAGUGCUGCAAGCCCAGUAUCAGUUAUUUGGCGUGCGUCCAAAUUGAGCGACCUCAAAGAGGAUAGCCCACAGAGCUUCUUUAGACCACUGUCCGUGACAACAGUGAAGGACAGAUUUAAGCUCUCUAAAUUCCUUAGCCCUGAGAGAUGACGAAUCCCAUUGUUUCCAACUUCGGUGUCAGACAACUCCAAACUCUUCAGGCGAUGAAGACCUGACAAAUAAAUCAGCCCUUCAUCUCUAAUCCUACAUGAGUCCAGGUUUAAGCUCUCCAAGUAUGACAAACCUCUCAGGUGCACAAGAAUGGCAUCUGUGAUAUCAUUGAAUCCCAAAUUCAGCACUUUCAAGCUCUGCAAACCUGAAAAUUUCUCACAUCCAUCAUCAGUCAAACAACAUCUGCUCAGGUUUAAAUACAGCAGAGCAUGAAGAGCAGAGAGAGACUCCAGGCACGCUGCAGUAACAGGGCAACCCUCCAUAUUCAACAGAGUAAGCUUCUCUAGAGCUUUCAGAAAAAUAACACCGUAGUCUGUGACUUUACUGGAUGAAAUUUGCAAUCCUUUCAGAUUUGUCAGGUCUGCAAGAGGUUUCAUAUCCGAAUCCGUGAUGCAAUUGCAACAGUUGAUGUUAAGAGAUUCAAGCUUUGCUAGACCUUUAAGAUGAACCAUUCCUCCAUGAAUUUUUGGGCACCUCUCCAGAUCUAGUUUCACCAAGUUAAUUAACCCAGACAGCACACUCAUCCCUUGAGCAGUAACUGUAUUAUUCCUCCUAAAACUCACCGAUGUCAAGUUUGUUAGACCACUAAUAUUUUCCAACCCGCAGUCGGUAAUCUGGUCACAAUAAUUAAGAUU
rnacentral:misc_RNA from 1 species